rnacentral:rRNA from 1 species
CCUACGGGGGGCAGCAGUGAGGAAUAUUGGUCAAUGGGCGAGAGCCUGAACCAGCCAAGUAGCGUGCAGGAUGACGGCCCUAUGGGUUGUAAACUGCUUUUAUGUGGGGAUAAAGUGAGCUACGUGUAGUUUAUUGCAGGUACCACAUGAAUAAGGACCGGCUAAUUCCGUGCCAGCAGCCGCGGUAAUACGGAAGGUCCAGGCGUUAUCCGGAUUUAUUGGGUUUAAAGGGAGCGUAGGCCGUGGAUUAAGCGUGUUGUGAAAUGUAGACGCUCAACGUCUGAAUUGCAGCGCGAACUGGUUCACUUGAGUAUGCACAACGUAGGCGGAAUUCGUCGUGUAGCGGUGAAAUGCUUAGAUAUGACGAAGAACUCCGAUUGCGAAGGCAGCUUACGGGAGCACAACUGACGCUGAAGCUCGAAGGUGCGGGUAUCAAACAGGAUUAGAUACCCUGGUAGUC